rnacentral:misc_RNA from 1 species
GAUGAAGAACGUAGCGAAAUGCGAUAACUAAUGUGAAUUGCAGAAUUCCGUGAAUCAUCGAGUCUUUGAACGCACAUUGCGCCCCCUGGUAUUCCGGGGGGCAUGCCUGUCCGAGCGUCAUUGCUGCCCAUCAAGCACGGCUUGUGUGUUGGGUCCUCGUCCCCCCCGGGGGACGUGCCCGAAAGGCAGCGGCGGCACCGCGUCCGGUCCUCGAGCGUAUGGGGCUUUGUCACCCGCUCUGCAGGCCCGGCCGGCGCUGGCCGACGAGAAAGCAACCAUUUUUUCUCCAGGUUGACCUCGGAUCAGGUAGGGAUACCCGCUGAACUUAAGCAUAUCAAUAAGCGGAGGA